GGCUCCCAAAAUUGUGCCUGUCAUCCCCACAGUGAAGCUCUAAACUCGUUAUUGCUGACUACAUUGUUGAACUCAGUGGAGAUGAGGGAUUUUUCACACACAGUUCAGCCUGAAGACCAAAGUCCCUAAGAACUUACCAACAGGUGAAGGGAUGCCCAUGGUCCUUUCUCAGUGUGGCUCUUUUCAUGACUCAUUUGCUAUAUCCAUCUUCUGAGCAGAGACUUUUAUUUGAGACCUCACAUGACAAAUAAAUUGUAAGUCCUCUCCUGUGUUUGCCAUGGAGUAAAUUCUAGAUUUAUGUGCCUAGCAACUAGAACCUCCCAGUCUACAGAAAACUGCAAUCAACUGAGCUGUUUCCCAACUCUGCCGACAUCUUCUCAACCAAAUUUGCUCCUCAAAAUCAACAAGUCUGAAUAACUCAUCCUUGUUUGCUAUGCUCCAAUAUCUUUAAUCUGAAUGAAUUUUAUUUCUUCACUUGUAUUCCUCUUGUUUUUUAAAUAUGGCAAAAAUCA